rnacentral:rRNA from 1 species
GAUGAACGCUAGCGACAGGCUUAACACAUGCAAGUCGAGGGGCAGCAUAAAAGUAGCAAUACUUUGGUGGCGACCGGCGCACGGGUGAGUAACGCGUAUGCAACCUACCUAUCAGAGGGGGAUAACCCGGCGAAAGUCGGACUAAUACCGCAUAAAAACAGGGGCACCGCAUGGUGAUAUUUGUUAAAAAUUUAUUACUGAUAGAUGGGCAUGCGUUCCAUUAGGUAGUUGGAGAGGUAACGGCUCACCAAGCCUACGAUGGAUAGGGGAACUGAGAGGUUGGUCCCCCACACUGGUACUGAGACACGGACCAGACUCCUACGGGAGGCAGCAGUGAGGAAUAUUGGUCAAUGGGCGAGAGCCUGAACCAGCCAAGUCGCGUGAAGGAAGAAGGAUCUAUGGUUCGUAAACUUCUUUUGCAGGGGAAUAAAGUGGAGGACGUGUCCUUUUUUGUAUGUACCCUGAGAAUAAGGAUCGGCUAACUCCGUGCCAGCAGCCGCGGUAAUGU